rnacentral:rRNA from 1 species
AACGCGAAGAACCUUACCUACUCUUGACAUCCAGAGAACUUUCCAGAGAUGGAUUGGUGCCUUCGGGAACUCUGAGACAGGUGCUGCAUGGCUGUCGUCAGCUCGUGUUGUGAAAUGUUGGGUUAAGUCCCGCAACGAGCGCAACCCUUAUCCUUUGUUGCCAGCGGUUCGGCCGGGAACUCAAAGGAGACUGCCAGUGAUAAACUGGAGGAAGGUGGGGAUGACGUCAAGUCAUCAUGGCCCUUACGACCAGGGCUACACACGUGCUACAAUGGCGCAUACAAAGAGAAGCGACCUCGCGAGAGCAAGCGGACCUCAUAAAGUGCGUCGUAGUCCGGAUUGGAGUCUGCAACUCGACUCCAUGAAGUCGGAAUCGCUAGUAAUCGUAGAUCAGAAUGCUACGGUGAAUACGUUCCCGGGUCUUGUACACACCG